rnacentral:rRNA from 1 species
UUCGGGCCCCUAGAGCGGCGGACGGGUGAGUAACACGUGGACAAUCUGCCCCCCGGUCCGGGAUAGCCCAGGGAAACCUGGAUUAAUACCGGAUGAGACGGGACCCGCGAGGGCGGGAUCCGGGAAAGGCGCUACGGCGCCGCCGGGGGAUGAGUCUGCGUCCCAUUAGCUAGACGGCGGGGUAACGGCCCACCGUGGCGUCGAUGGGUAGCCGGCCUGAGAGGGUGAACGGCCACAUUGGAACUGAGACACGGUCCAGACUCCUACGGGAGGCAGCAGCUAAGAAUCUUCCGCAAUGGGCGAAAGCCUGACGGAGCGACGCCGCGUGAACGAAGAAGGCCGUGAGGUUGUAAAGUUCUUUUCGGGAGGGGGAACAACCGUGGCAGGGAAUGGCCGCGGGAUGACGUGAAUCCCGGAAUAAGCCCCGGCUAACUACGUGCCAGCAGCCGCGGUAACACGUAGGGGGCGAGCGUUGUUCGGAAUCAUUGGGCGUAAAGGGCGUGCAGGCGGUCCUGCAAGUCCGGCGUGAAAUACCCCGGCCCAACCGGGGGGACGCGCUGGAAACUGCAGGGCUUGAGUACAGGAGGGGAUGCCGGAAUUCCAGGUGUAGGGGUGAAAUCUGUAGAUAUCUGGAAGAACACCAAUGGCGAAGGCAGGCAUCUGGCCAUGUACUGACGCUGAGGCGCGAAAGCGUGGGUAGCAAACAGGAUUAGAUACCCUGGUAGUCCACGCCCUAAACGAUGGAUACUAGACGUAAGAGGUAUCGACCCCUCUUGUGUC